ACACCCACACUCCGAAACGACGCCAUCAAACCCACCAAACUUUGAACACUGACAACGACCACCCUCUUCCCCACACGUCUCGCAAUCACACCCAGCUGUGCCUUUCCCCGACUCACCCACCCAACGCACCGUUUCGACAUCGAUUUCACCAGCCGAGUUCGGUCCCUGCGCCAAGCAAUCGGAGCCCCAAGAUUGGCGGAGUGGAAAUCUGGAAGAGGAAUGAGGGAUUUGAGAUGGGGUGUAGAUGAAGAAGGUGUACGGGUGUCUAUCAACGGAGUUAUGGAAUAGGAUCAGAUGAGGUUCCAGGGAUCGGGAGAUGUCGGAGGCACAACAGAGAGUGAUUGAGGUAGAGAUUGCGCGGAGGGUGGUGCAGGUGAGAAAGAUGAUGGCGAGUUCUUGUGGAGUUAGCCAUGGCGUCAGAUGGGCUAUCCCAUGGGUUUGUCGAUUCUGGGCCGGCGUAUGGCCUGGCUUGGGCUAGGUGCCAACCUAUUAGGCUAGGGUGGAAUUGCUCUCAUUGUCUUCCUCGAUGAAAUCUCGGCGAGUUCUCGAUGACUAAGGUGGUAAAAAUGCUAUCAACAAGACACCCAAAGACCUUCAAGUGGCCAUAAGAGGGGAAUUUACAAUUUACGAUACCAUUUUUCGAAAGGGGUUUUUUUUUUAAAGAAGAAAAGUAGGUAAACAUUUAAUCAAGUAAACUGUUGUGUAGAAACAAUCCUCCCAUAAAUGAACAGGAAGAUGUGCUUGAAAUUGUAAAACCCCAGUGACUUCAAGGAUAUGGUAGUGUUUGCACUCGACUA